rnacentral:lncRNA from 1 species
AGAAAUCUGUGUGGGGACAGAAGGGCAGAAGACACCCUGGCUGGCUGGAGCAGGCUGUUACAAAGAAACAUGGGUAUAGCCCUUAGGAUGUCUCUGAAUCCAAUGCUGCGCUGCUGGGCAGGACAAGCCCCACUUGAAAUGUAAAUGCUAUGAACUCUCCCUCCAUAAAACUCAGAUGUAAAUAUGUGUGAAUAAGCCAUAUUUUUAAGACACUGCAGACUUGGCUGUUCCUCGAUUUUCCAGCAAAAACACAACCCUGAGCGACUGCCUGGAACCCUCUCCUGGAGUUUUGCUACCGCUUGGCAGAGAUUAAGGUGGCCUGUAACAAUAUGCAUUUUUGUAUAUAUUUUUCACUAACCAUUUGUGUGCACUUCCCUCUGACAUAUGCUCUUCUGUAUGUGUUUUGGCGCUGGAGAAGUGCAUGGCAAAAUUUGGAGACGCAUGAAUUUUGAAGGGCAGUUGGGUUGCCGUCAAACGCAAAGGGAAAAAAUUCCUUCUUCACACCCGCCAGGCAAGUGGGAAGUGAACAGGGAUCAAGUAACUCAGAUUAGCUAACUCAACAUUGUCAUGCCUCAGUUUCUUUGCAAAAGGUUUUUUUUUAAAAAAAGCCAUAGGCAUUGAGCAAGGAGGGUGUUCUUAUCACAAAAAGUCAUUGUAGUGUUUCUGAGCAAUCUUGUUCCACUUCCUGUGUAUGUGCUAUGGCCUAGGCAAUUUACAGAUAAAUUCGGUCUACCACAGUAAUUUAUAUAAUUCGUGGCUUUGAUCCAGAAAUGUCUUGUGUGAGAGAAAAGUCCUUCCCCUUGUUCAGGAAAGGCCUGCCAAAUUCUUCUCCUCCCAGUUCUGCCAGAGCCUCGUGCAAUUCAUCCUAUAAAAUUCCAGCAGACCUGUCAGCCUUCAGGAGUUGCUUUCAGAGGGAUGUGUGGGGUUAUGUCAUUUGUUAGUUGCACUUAUAGCCCAUCUUUCCUUCAAGAAGCCCAAGGUGGCUCACAUAGUCCUACCCCCCAUGUUAUCCUCACAACAACCCUGUAAGGUAGGUUAGGCUGAGAGUGAAUAACUGGCCCAUUGAGCUUCAUGGCUAAAUGAGGAUUUGAACUGCGCUCUCCCAGGUCCUAGCUGAAGACUCUAACAACUACACCACACUGUAGCAGAUGGAGGAGCCAAGAAUGCUCUGUUGCAUAAACAAAUUUCUGGAUCUAACCCAGCAUGUUUACAAUUGGGAAGUAAGGUGCUAGAAUCAUUCAUUGUACUAGUUCACUGCAAAGAAUGUACAAUGAAGCAUGGCAACAGGGGUGGCUAAACUGGGCUACAACUACCGCCAUCCUUGACUACAGACAAUGAUGGCCACAAGCUGAUCAGAACUGGAGUCUGGCAAUAACCGAAGAGCCACAGCUUGCCCAUCCCCAGCUUAGAAACUUCUAGCCAGUGGUUUGUUUGUAACCUCUGGGUAUGCACAGAGUGCAGUGACGGUCACACCAAAUUCAUGGAGGAGAGACAAACCACCACAGAGCGUGGAAGGUCUAUCUGUCUGUCUGUCUGUCCGUCUCUAUCACAACACAGAUGCUGGGAAGGGCGCUUGCCUUCCCGCCCUGCUUGCAGACCCUCUGGAGACAUCUGGCUGGUCACUGUAUGAAACAGGAUGCUGGCCUAGAUGAAGCCUUGACCUGAUUCUGCAGGGCUCUGAUGUUCUUCAAAAGAAUGGCCUUAUAUGUAUGUAUUCAGCUGUCUGAUUUCUUCAAGAUGAGCAAAAUGCCUCUUUACUCCAUCUCUGCCAGUUGGCUCAUCCGACAGCAAACUCCGUCUAGCGAUAAGUGAACCUCGAAAGGUUUCAUGUAAAUAAGCGCUCGGAAAUAUUCCUGCGAAGCUUCUUGGAGCCAGAAUGCUUGUUUCUGCAAAACUCGGGUGGAUGUUAUGUAACAAGAGGCUGUUUUGAUGAGAUAUCCUGUUCUUGCCGUUUCCAGUACAGCUGGAAGGCGAGCAAGAAUAGCUUCCCCACCAACCCGACUGUAUUUUAUCACUUCUGCUUCUGUUGCCGACUGGGAGGUGGAAGUCCAAGACGGCCUGGGACCGAACAGAAGUUGAGUGAUAUGGAAGGGAGAAGUUGGGACCCCCCAGAUGUUUCUGUUAGACUCUUGGACAAAGGAAAUGGCUCCCUCCGUUGUCUCAGGGGGCGUUUUUGAGGGUUUUGAAAAUAUUACGACAAAAAUGUACUGAUCCAUACUUGCGAAAGUGACACAAUAACAUAAAUAACAGUGUCCUGUGGUUUCACUAAAGGAAGUCACUGUUAAGUUCCUGUAAAGAAGGAACUCGUAUUUCCGAAAUUAUUUAACUGACAUCAGCCACCAACAAAAAAAAGUAUAUCUCUCUGUGUGUGUUUACAGCACAAUCCUAGAAAUGUCUACACAGAAUUGACAGUAGUGGAACUUACUUCCAAAUAAUGGUGUGUGCAGGAUUGCAGCCUUUAGAUGUUUUAAGCACCUGGUUGUUAAGGGAUCAGUUAAGUGAGUCCUUCUCACUAGAAGGAAUGGCCCUUAAAAUGCUUAAAAUGCAACAUUUUUUAAAGUGAUGAUUCUGCUCCAUAAAUCCAUAAUAUGUCCACAUCUUCCACAUCUACUAGACUAGGAGCUAAUGCACAUUUCCCUCCCUACUAUGCGACUUUCAGGCACUCAAACCACAUGGCAGAUACGUGUCUGGGAUAAACAGACUUAUUAAACCAAACCCAACCACUGGCCCAUCAAGCUCCUCACUACUUCAGUCUUGCCUCCUCUAUGCUGACUGGCAGUGGCUCUCUAUGGCUUCAAACUGGGGCAUGCUUAGUCCUACCCGGAGGUGACAGAGCUUAAACCUGAGCCUCUCUACGUGCAAAGCCACUGAGCUAUGGCCCUUCCUCUAACAUCCUCUUGUGAAAACUUUUAUUAUGUGCCCUGACAUCCUGUACCCAAGAAGCAGGGCUUCUUUUAAGUCUAGGCUCAGUUCAUAGAGCCAGGGUGCCGUAAAAGACCCAUAGGCAGAACUAUCUGUGAGCAUGUGCAGAAUGCCAGCUGCAAAACAGCAAAAUUUCACCCAGACACCUAGCUUGGCUUGGGCAUGAAGAUUUGUGGUUUCAGGGCACAGGACAAGCCUGGAUAUCUGAUGGUUUAGAAAGGCAUAUUUCAGUAAGACUUAGUUUUGCCUCAGAUGCUCAUGAGUAGACUCUUGGAUUCAGGCUUUAGAAAAGCAUGAAACCACCACCAAACAGUCACUGUACCAAAUGGAAUUCAUCUUUUUUUAUUUUAUUUACAUCAAUAGAAAUAGGGUAGAGUUUAGAAUGCAGGUCCAGCUAGUGAAGUUUUGGUUAUGCUGACAAGCGAUAGUCCCGAUGAUUUCAGGCAAUAGUUUUUCCUACUUUGGAGCUGUUGGGCAUUCUGGAAGCAUUGUGGAAGCAAAACACAUGCUUCCAUGUGCUAUUGAGCUAUGGCCCUGCCCAUGGUCAUGUCCAGGAAAUUACUUCUGCCUUUUUCUUAUGACUAGCAUUUUUAAAUGCUGCUGUCACUACGCAUCACGGGCUCUGACUUAGCGCAUUUUAAAGCUAGUUAUCUGCCGCAGUAAAAUAAAUAUUCCAUAACCCUCUAUUCUUUCUCCGUUUGU